rnacentral:rRNA from 1 species
AGGCGAUGAAGGACGUACUAGACUGCGAUAAGCUACGGGGAGCUGUCAAGAAGCUUUGAUCCGUAGAUUUCCGAAUGGGGCAACCCAACUAGCACUAGCUAGUUACCUUUAAUGGAGCGAACCCAGCGAAGUGAAACAUCUCAGUAGCUGGAGGAAAAGAAAUCAAAUGAGAUUCUCUUAGUAGCGGCGAGCGAACGGGGAAGAGGGCAAACCGAAUGCUUGCAUUCGGGGUUGAGGACUGCGACAUCCACUGAGAUCAUUUAGUAGAACAAUCUGGAAAGUUUGGCGACACAGGGUGAUAGCCCCGUAUACGAAAGAUGAUUUCUAGGUAGCAGGAUCCAGAGUAGGCCAGGACACGUGAAAUCCGGGCUGAAGCCGGGGAGACCACUCUCCAACCCUAAAUACUACUCUCUUACCGAUAGUGCACAAGUACCGUGAGGGAAAGGUGAAAAGAACCGCAGUGAGCGGAGUGAAAUAGAACCUGAAACCAUCUGCCUACAAUCAUUCAGAGCCCUAUGAUACAUCCCAUAAAGUUUUACUUUAUAGCGCGUAUCUCAAUAAUUAUAUCAUUGGAGUCUCCAUAAGAUCGUAAGGUUUUAUGGGGUGUAUCAGGGUGAUGGACUGCCUUUUGCAUAAUGAUCCUGCGAGUUGUGGUAUCUGGCAAGGUUAAACAAACGUGAAGCCGUAGCGAAAGCGAGUCUGAAAGGGCGCUUAGUCAGAUGCUGCAGACCCGAAGCUGAGUGAUCUAUCCAUGGCCAAGUUGAAGUAAGUGUAAUAGCUUAUGGAGGACUGAACUCGUACCCAUUGAAACGGGUUGGGAUGAGCUGUGGAUAGGGGUGAAAGGCCAAACAAACUCAGUGAUAGCUGGUUCUCUUCGAAAUAUAUUUAGGUAUAGCCUCAAGUGAUAGUAAUAGGGGGUAGAGCUCUGAUUGGGCUAGGGCUGCUCACCGCGGUACCAAACCCUGUCAAACUUCAAAUACCUAUUACCGUAUCUUGGGAGUCAGGCGGUGGGUGAUAAAAUCAAUCGUCAAGAGGGAAACAACCCAGACUACCAACUAAGGUCCCCAAGUUCUAUUCUAAGUGGAAAAAGAUGUGGAGUUACUCAGACAACCAGGAGGUUGGCUUAGAAGCAGCCAUCCUUUAAAGAAAGCGUAACAGCUCACUGGUCUAGUGAUUCUGCGCUGAAAAUAUAACGGGGCUAAGAUAGACACCGAAGUUGUAGAUUGUGCUUUGCACAGUGGUAGAAGAGCGUUCGUAUCUGCGUUGAAGGUAUACCGGUAAGGAGUGCUGAAGCGAUGCGAAGUGAGCAUGCAGGAAUGAGUAGCGAUAAAAUAUGUGAGAAUCAUAUUCGCCGUAAAUCUAAGGUUUCCUACGCUAUGCUCGUCAUCGUAGGGUUAGUCGGGUCCUAAGACAAGUCCGAAAGGGGUAGUCGAUGGAAAAUGGGUUAAUAUUCCCAUACCAACCAUUGUGUGCGAUGGGGGGACGCAUAGGGUUAAGUGCGCUAACUGAUGGAAUAGUUAGUUUAAGAGUGUAAGUUGGGAGAUAGGCAAAUCCACUCCUGUAUCACAAGCUCGAUGAGCUCUUUGAAGUCUUCGGAUGGAUAAGAGUGUCACUGAUACCGUCGUGCCAAGAAAAGCCUCUAAGUUUAGCAAUGGUUGCCCGUACCGCAAACCGACACAGGUAGAUGAGAUGAGUAUUCUAAGGCGCGUGAAAGAACUCUCUUUAAGGAACUCUGCAAACUAGCACCGUAAGUUCGCGAUAAGGUGUGCCUAUGAAAGUAGGUCUCAGCAAAGAGUCCCUCCCGACUGUUUACCAAAAACACAGCACUUUGCCAACUCGUAAGAGGAAGUAUAAGGUGUGACGCCUGCCCGGUGCUCGAAGGUUAAGAGGAUGAGUCAGUCAGCAAUGAUGAAGCUUUGAAUUGAAGCCCGAGUAAACGGCGGCCGUAACUAUAACGGUCCUAAGGUAGCGAAAUUCCUUGUCGGUUAAAUACCGACCUGCAUGAAUGGCGUAACGAGAUGGGAGCUGUCUCAAAGAGAGAUUCAGUGAAAUUGUAGUGGAGGUGAAAAUUCCUCCUACCCGCGGCAAGACGGAAAGACCCCGUGGACCUUUACUACAGCUUGGCACUGCCGAUGGGAGCAUUAUGCGCAGGAUAGGUGGGAGGCUUUGAAAUCUUCACUCCGGUGGAGAUGGAGCCAUCCUUGAGAUACCACCCUUAAUGUUUCUGUCUGCUAACUGGCUUGAGUUAUCCUCAAGCAGGACAAUGCCUGGUGGGUAGUUUGACUGGGGCGGUCGCCUCCUAAAAAGUAACGGAGGCUUGCAAAGGUUGGCUCAUUGCGGUUGGAAAUCGCAAGUUGAGUGUAAUGGCAUAAGCCAGCCUGACUGUAAGACAAACAAGUCGAGCAGAGACGAAAGUCGGUCAUAGUGAUCCGGUGGUUCUGUGUGGAAGGGCCAUCGCUCAAAGGAUAAAAGGUACCCCGGGGAUAACAGGCUGAUCUCCCCCAAGAGCUCACAUCGACGGGGAGGUUUGGCACCUCGAUGUCGGCUCAUCGCAUCCUGGGGCUGGAGCAGGUCCCAAGGGUAUGGCUGUUCGCCAUUUAAAGCGGUACGCGAGCUGGGUUCAGAACGUCGUGAGACAGUUCGGUCCCUAUCUGCCGUGGGCGUAGGAAAGUUGAGGAGAGCUGUCCCUAGUACGAGAGGACCGGGAUGGACAUGCCACUAGUGUACCAGUUGUUCUGCCAAGAGCAUCGCUGGGUAGCUACGCAUGGAUGUGAUAACCGCUGAARGCAUCUAAG